rnacentral:rRNA from 1 species
AGGAAAUCCGGAGACGUCGUCCGGGGCCCCGGGAAGAGUUAUCUUUUCUUUUUAAUGGCUUGCUCACCCUGGAAUCGGUUCACCCGGAGAUAGGGUCCAACAGUUGGAAGAGCACUGCACGUCUUGCGGUGUCUGGUGCGCCCUCGGCAGCCCUUGAAAAUCUGGAGGACUGAGUACCGUUCAUGCCUGGUCGUACUCAUAACCGCAUCAGGUCUCGAAGGUGAACAACCUAUAUUCAAUAUAAUAAUGUAGGUAAGGGAAGUCGGCAAAACGGAUUUGUAACUUCGGGAAAAGCAUUGGCUCUAAGGGCCGGGCCUAGGGGUUUGCGCCCUCAACUCAUGGGCUAUUGGUAGUCUGCUUGAGCUUCUCUCGCGGUGAGGGCGGGUAGUCGCGUGCCGAUUGGGCUACGGGCGUAGAAUGCCCCCUGCUGGGGCUUUUCCCUAGGCGUUGAGAAGUCGACUCAGAACUGGUAUGGACAAGGGGAAUUCGACUGUUUAAUUAAAACAAAGCAUUGUGAUGGUCCCUGCAGAUGCUGAUGCAAUGUGAUUUCUGCCCAGUGCUCUGAAUGUCAAAGUGAAGAAAUUCAACCAAGCGUUGGUAAACAGCGGGAAUAACUAUGACUCUCUUAAGGUAGCCAAAUUCCUCGUCAUCUAAUUAGUGAUGUGCAUGAAUGGAUUAAUGAGAUUCCCACUAUCCCUAUCUACUAUCUAGCAGAACCACAACCAAGGGAACGAGCUUGGUAGAAUCAGCGGGGAAAGAAGACCCUGUUGAGAUUGACUCUAGUCCGACUUUGUGAAAUGACUUGAGAGGUGUAGAAUAAGUGGGAGCCGUUUUCGGUGCAAGUGAAAUACCACUACUUUUAAAGUUAUUUUACUUAUUCCGUGGGGCAGAGAUGGGCACUUCCCCCAUUUUUGGCCUUAAGGCACGUUUCAGCGGGUCGAUCCAAGCAGAAGACAUUGUCAGGUGGGGAGUUUGGCUGGGGUGGCACAUCUGUUAAAAGAUAACGCAGGUGUCCUAAGAUGAGCUCACUGAGAACAUAAAUCUCGUGUGGAACAAAAGGGUAAAAGAUAAUUUGAUUUUGAUUUUCAGUACGAAUACAAACCGUGAAACCGUGGCCUAUCGAUCCUUUAGAUUUUCAGAAUUUGAAGCUAGAGGUGUCAGAAAAGUACCACAGGGAUAACUGGCUUGUGGUAGCCAAGCGUUCAUAGUGACGUGGCUUUUUGAUCCUUCGAUGUCGGCUCUUCCUAUCAUUAUGAAGCAUAAUUCACCAAGUGUUGGAUUAUUCACCCACCAAUAGGGAACGUGAGCUGGGUUUAUACUGUCGUGAGACAGGUUAGUUUUACCCUACUUAUGAACCACACCGCAAUAGUAAUUCAACUUAGUACGAGAGGAACCGUUGAUUCAUACAAUUGGUCAUCGUGCUUGGUUGAAAAGCUAGUGGCGCAAAGCUACGGUGUGUCGGAUUAUGACUGAACGCCUCUAAGUCAGAAUCCACGCUAGAAGCGGUGCAUGUCACUCUUCGACUGUAUCUCGACCCGUAGUAGGGGCGUCGCUUUGUCGCCCCCAGGGGCCCGUGUCAUUUGCAAACCGCGACCGUGAAGCAUCUCGGUCGGGGCAGCUUUGAAGUUCAAUUCCAAACGGUCGUUGAGAAGAAUCCUUUGCAAACGACUUAAAUACACGACGGGGUAUUGUAAGUGGCAGAGUGGCCUUGCUGCCAUGAUCCACUGAGAUUCAGCCCUUGGUCGCCU